GCACUGAUGAAGAGUCCCAAACUAGGACGAAACAGCUGUCCAUUAC
rfam:Trichobilharzia regenti genome assembly, scaffold: TRE_scaffold0008351